rnacentral:rRNA from 1 species
UGCGAACGGGUGAGUAACGCGUAGGUAACCUGCCUACUAGCGGGGGAUAACUAUUGGAAACGAUAGCUAAUACCGCAUAACAGCAUUUAACCCAUGUUAGAUGCUUGAAAGGAGCAAUUGCUUCACUAGUAGAUGGACCUGCGUUGUAUUAGCUAGUUGGUGAGGUAACGGCUCACCAAGGCGACGAUACAUAGCCGACCUGAGAGGGUGAUCGGCCACACUGGGACUGAGACACGGCCCAGACUCCUACGGGAGGCAGCAGUAGGGAAUCUUCGGCAAUGGGGGCAACCCUGACCGAGCAACGCCGCGUGAGUGAAGAAGGUUUUCGGAUCGUAAAGCUCUGUUGUAAGAGAAGAACGUGUGUGAGAGUGGAAAGUUCACACAGUGACGGUAACUUACCAGAAAGGGACGGCUAACUACGUGCCACCAGCCGCGGUAAUACGUAGGUCCCGAGCGUUGUCCGGAUUUAUUGGGCGUAAAGCGAGCGCAGGCGGUUUAAUAAGUCUGAAGUUAAAGGCAGUGGCUUAACCAUUGUUCGCUUUGGAAACUGUUAGACUUGAGUGCAGAAGGGGAGAGUGGAAUUCCAUGUGUAGCGGUGAAAUGCGUAGAUAUAUGGAGGAACACCGGUGGCGAAAGCGGCUCUCUGGUCUGUAACUGACGCUGAGGCUCGAAAGCGUGGGGAGCAAACAGGAUUAGAUAACCUGGUAGUCCACGCCGUAAACGAUGAGUGCUAGGUGUUAGGCCCUUUCCGGGGCUUAGUGCCGCAGCUAACGCAUUAAGCACUCCGCCUGGGGGAGUACGACCGCAAGGUUGAAACUCAAAGGAAUUGACGGGGGGCCCGCACCAGCGGUGGAGCAUGUGGUUUUAAUUCGAAGCAACGCGAAGAACCCUACCACGUCUUGAC